GUCUUUUUGAGUUAUUUUUAAAGUCUAACCUGCCCACUGUUUUUUUUUAAAUGGCCGCAGUAUUCUAACUGUGCAAAGGUAGCAUAAUCAUUAGUCUUUUAAUUGAAGGCUGGUAUGAAUGGUUGGACGAAGUAUAAGCUGUUUCAUAUAAAAUUUUAUUAGAACUUUAUAUUUUAGUCAAAAAGCUAAAAUUUUUUUAAAAGACGAGAAGACCCUAUAAAUCUUUAUAUUUAAUAUUAUUCAAAUUUUUUUGAUUUAUUUUAUUUAUAUAAUAUUAAAUAUUUUGUUGGGGUGAUGUUAAAAUUUAAUGAACUUUUAAUUGUUAAUUUAAAUCAUUAAUUUAUGAAUAAUUGAUCCAUUAUUAGUGAUUAUAAGAUUAAGUUACUUUAGGGAUAACAGCGUAAUUUUUUUUGAGAGUUCAUAUCGAUAAAAAAGUUUGCGACCUCGAUGUUGGAUUAAGAUAUAUAUUUAGGUGUAGCCGUUUAAAUAUUAAGUCUGUUCGACUUUUAAAUUCUU
rnacentral:rRNA from 1 species